AGGAUGAACGCUAGCGGCAGGCCUAAUACAUGCAAGUCGAACGGUCAGUAGCAAUACUGAUAGUGGCGCACGGGUGCGUAACACGUAACUAACCUACCUAUACCUGGGGGAUAGCCCGCCGAAAGGCGGAUUAAUACCGCAUAAGGCUUGAGACUGGCAUCAGUUUUUAGUUAAAGAUUUAUUGGGUAUAGAUGGGGUUGCGGGUCAUUAGCUAGUUGGUAAGGUAACGGCUUACCAAGGCGACGAUGACUAGGGGAGCUGAGAGGCUGGUCCCCCACACGGGCACUGAGAUACGGGCCCGACUCCUACGGGAGGCAGCAGUAGGGAAUAUUGGGCAAUGGGCGAGAGCCUGACCCAGCCAUGCCGCGUGCAGGAAGAAGGCUUUCUGAGUCGUAAACUGCUUUUGAUAGGGAAGAAUAAGCUUCACGUGUGGAGUGAUGACGGUACAUACAGAAUAAGCACCGGCUAACUCCGUGCCAGCAGCCGCGGUAA
rnacentral:rRNA from 1 species